rnacentral:rRNA from 1 species
GAUGAACGCUGGCGGCGUGCUUAACACAUGCAAGUCGAACGAUGAAGCCCAGCUUGCUGGGUGGAUUAGUGGCGAACGGGUGAGUAACACGUGAGUAACCUGCCCUUAACUCUGGGAUAAGCCUGGGGAACUGGGUCUAAUACCGGAUAGGAGCGUCCACCGCAUGGUGGGUGUUGGAAAGAUUUAUCGGUUUUGGAUGGACUCGCGGCCUAUCAGCUUGUUGGUGAGGUAAUGGCUCACCAAGGCGACGACGGGUAGCCGGCCUGAGAGGGUGACCGGCCACACUGGGACUGAGACACGGCCCAGACUCCUACGGGAGGCAGCAGUGGGGAAUAUUGCACAAUGGGCGCAAGCCUGAUGCAGCGACGCCGCGUGAGGGAUGACGGCCUUCGGGUUGUAAACCGCUUUCAGUAGGGAAGAAGCGAAAGUGACGGUACCUGCAGAAGAAGCACCGGCUAACUACGUG